ensembl:lncRNA
CUUCGACACUCCUGAAGUGUUUCCACUUUUGUGUGCCAUAUGCAUCAGAGGUUUAGCCAACAGUCCGUGGGUGUGACGUCUGAGGCUGAGACUAGAUUGCAAGUCAGCAAAAAUAAGCAAGAGCACAAAAGAAACCACCGCCAGUCCUCAGGCGCUGACUGCGAGGUAGAGCGUCAGAGAGGGAGAGACUGAAAGAGAAAGAAAGACUUGGAGCCAAGUAUGAGCAGUAUCCACUGACCUGACAGUGAUGGCCCUUCUGAGUACAUAAACUCCACAAGAUAUCCUCCCCUGCCACUGACUGUGAGUUACCCAUGAGGCUGUGGGGCUACUUUGGGCCGCCCAUUGUGAUCAGGCCUGUGUGCUGAGAUCAUGAGGGGAACCAGACUGGCAGGCACUCUGCGGCUUCCUCUGAGAUACCAGAUCAAGUAAAUCAGAAUUAGAACUCGUUAGCCCUUCAGGAGCCCUGAUGACUGCGACUCCUCACUGAGCACCCAGCGGCUGUCCACUGUGGGAAAAAAGGUGC